rnacentral:lncRNA from 1 species
GGAACAACAUGGUUGGUUAAGGCAUAUUGAGCAGGGCUAGAGGCUCUACAGUGUAAUAAGACAGUAAUCACUAACCAGGACAGUAAUGGAUGAGGCAUAUUGAUAUUACAGAGAGGCAUGCGUAGCCAGGUGAACAUAUGGAUCCAGUGAGUGGUUGGGCUGACUGGGGACAGACAGUUAGCAGGCCGAUGCUAACAAGCUAACAGUUAGUAGGCCGGGGCUAAACAAGCUAGCAGUUAGCAGACCGGGGCUGGCAAGCUAGCAGUUAGCAGACCGGGUUAGCAAGCAAUCAGUUAGCAGACCGGGGCUAGCAGUUAGCAGACCGGGGCAGGCAAGCUAGCAGUUAGCAGACCGGGGCAAAGAGGUUGGAAAAAUUAACACAAGGCCUACAGUUGUUCACAUCGCUACAACAGAUGAUUUGUGUGAUCAGGACCUGAGCCCUAGGACCAUGCCUCAGGACUACCUGGUAUGAUGACUCCUUGCUGUCCCCAGUCCACCUGGCCGUGCUGCUGCUCCGGUUUCAACUGUUCUGCCUGCGGCUAUGGAACCCUGACCUGUUCACCGGACGUGCUUGUUGCGCCCUCGACAGCUACUGUGAUUGUUGUUGUUUGGCCAUGCUGGUCAUUUAUGAACAUUUUAACAUUUUAACAUCUUGACCAUGUUCUGUUGUGGUAUCCGCCCUGCACAGCCAGAAGAGGACUGGCCACCCCUCAUAGCCUGGUUCCUCUCUAGGUUUCUUCCUAGGUUUUUGGCCUUUCUAGGGAGUUUUUCCUAGGGAGUUUUUCCUAGCCACCGUGCUUCUUUCACAUGCUUUGCUUGCUGUUUGGGGUUUUAGGCUGGGUUUCUGUACAGCACUUUGAGAAUAUCAGCU